rnacentral:rRNA from 1 species
AUUGAACGCUGGCGGCAUGCCUUACACAUGCAAGUCGAACGGCAGCGCGGGAGCAAUCCUGGCGGCGAGUGGCGAACGGGUGAGUAAUACAUCGGAACGUGCCCAAUCGUGGGGGAUAACGCAGCGAAAGCUGUGCUAAUACCGCAUACGAUCUACGGAUGAAAGCAGGGGAUCGCAAGACCUUGCGCGAAUGGAGCGGCCGAUGGCAGAUUAGGUAGUUGGUGAGGUAAAGGCUCACCAAGCCUUCGAUCCGUAGCUGGUCUGAGAGGACGACUAGCCACACUGGGACUGAGACACGGCCCAGACUCCUACGGGAGGCAGCAGUGGGGAAUUUUGGACAAUGGGCGAAAGCCUGAUCCAGCCAUGCCGCGUGCAGGAUGAAGGCCUUCGGGUUGUAAACUGCUUUUGUACGGAACGAAACGGCCUUUUCUAAUAAAGAGGGCUAAUGACGGUACCGUAAGAAUAAGCACCGGCUAACUACGUGCCAGCAGCCGCGGUAAUACGUAGGGUGCAAGCGUUAAUCGGAAUUACUGGGCGUAAAGCGUGCGCAGGCGGUUAUGUAAGACAGUUGUGAAAUCCCCGGGCUCAACCUGGGAACUGCAUCUGUGACUGCAUAGCUAGAGUACGGUAGAGGGGGAUGGAAUUCCGCGUGUAGCACUGAAAUGCGUAGAUAUGCGGAGGAACACCGAUGGCGAAGGCAAUCCCCUGGACCUGUACUGACGCUCAUGCACGAAAGCGUGGGGAGCAAAC